rnacentral:rRNA from 1 species
AUGAACGCUGGCGGCGUGCCUAAUACAUGCAAGUCGAGCGAACGGACGAGAAGCUUGCUUCUCUGAUGUUAACGGCGGACGGGUGAGUAACACGUGGAUAACCUACCUAUAAGACUGGGAUAACUUCGGGAAACCGUAGCUAAUACCGGAUAAUAUUUUGAACCGCAUGGUUCAAAAGUGAAAGACGGUCUUGCUGUCACUUAUAGAUGGAUCCGCGCUGCAUUAGCUAGUUGGUAAGGUAACGGCUUACCAAGGCAACGAUGCAUAGCCGACCUGAGAGGGUGAUCGGCCACACUGGAACUGAGACACGGUCCAGACUCCUACGGGAGGCAGCAGUAGGGAAUCUUCCGCAAUGGGCGAAAGCCUGACGGAGCAACGCCGCGUGAGUGAUGAAGGUCUUCGGAUCGUAAAACUCUGUUAUUAGGGAAGAACAUAUGUGUAAGUAACUGUGCACAUCUUGACGGUACCUAAUCAGAAAGCCACGGCUAACUACGUG